CACACACACACACACACACACAUAUAUAUAUAUAUAUAUAUAUAUAACUUUAAGGUUGAACCACUGUAGUCACAUGGACUAUUUUAACAAUGUCUUUAAUAUGUUCUGGAUCUUGAAUGACAGUAAUUACGUUGCUUUCAAGGGGGGAUAAUCUUGGAUUUCAUCAAAAAUAUCUUAAUUUGUGUUCCAAAGAUGAAAGAAGGUCUUACGGGUUUGGAACAACAUGAGGGUGAGUAAUUAAUGACAAAAAUGUCAUUAUUGGGUGAACUAACCCUUUUAUAAACAAAACUGCAUGUGUCUUUUGGCGUCCAUGCCCGGUCUAAAAUAGUCAGAGUAUAAACACUUAGUGAUUCAGGAUAUAUAAGACAAAAACACAGUUUGAAAGAUGGAUUCAUGAUGUACUUGCUAAUUAUAUACAUUUUGGAAAAAAAAAAAAAAGCUACACAGUGUACCUUUAAGUUAAAUAUUAAUCCUUUGUUUGUGUGUGGCAAAAAGAAAGAAAGAAAGAAAAAAAAAAGCCAGAGGUCAGUAAGAGAAAGGCACCUUGUGGUAUCUUCACUGAGAGACACAAAACCACUGUCCACUUUCGUUUUCGUUCAUGAUUCUUUGCUGGUGGAAUAAUCUUCCCAACCCUAACACUGAAUCACUGACAAUUUAAGAAACAGCAUAGGCUACUCAUCUCUUUCGUCAGCACUUAACAGCACCCUGCUGCAUGAAUGAAUGAAUAAAUAAAUAAAAUAUUCCCAUAUGCUUUCACUUUUCCUUAAUCUCUCCCUGUUCUAGUUUAUACUAUUGUAAACAAUGUCUGAAACUUUAUUGUUUCUUUAUUGUGCCAGAGGUUUUCUCAGGUUUUAGGUGGGAUGACAGAAACUUAAUUGCUCUCAUUUCUUCUUUUUGGCUUAUCCGUCAUGUCCACAAGACUGAAUUGUUAUGUGAUAAAUCACAUGAUUCAGAAACCCUGCAAUCCCUCACAAGCCAAGUUUCGUUUCUGUGAAAACAUCGACUGUAAUCAUGUGUCUGGACCGGAUUGGCUGCUGAUUUGUUUGUUCUUUUUAUGAGGCGUGAACAGUUUCUGCAGGAAGAGUAUAAAUAUCAGAUGAAGAUCUAUUUCUGAAUUUACUGCACUACGCUGCUCUGAAGCUUAAACAAAUCAUCAGAAUGAUCUUUUCCGAGGGGAGUGAUGAAGGGGAUGAUGAAGACAAUGAUGAAGAAGAUGAUGGAGGUGCUGGAGUAAGUGUCUGCUGCCAAGGGUAGACAACUGCUCCAGACCUUGAUGCAGCGUGUCGAGAAAGACCCAAUAGUACGCUGGAUCCAUGAACUGUGUGUAUUUGCUGACACAAGCAAGCAGCAGCCAAAGAAACACACAGCUUCUUUUGUGACAAAUGUCACAACCCAAGCACCUCCCGCGCCAUGUGUGUCCAUGGCAAACCUGACACGUAGACCAUGAUUUCUCCAUGGGAACGAUGGACCUCGCAACUUUCCCGCUGUUCAGUGGCAGCACCAUCGGUUUUCUUCAGAACGGCUCUGUUUUUGUGUCUGUUUGUGCAACCCUGAAGAAACCAUGGAGAGAAGACUGAAAUAUACAUAGAGAGGUGAUGACCUCAUGGGUAAAGAGCUGCUGUUCCAGAGGUUGGAAGAUGUGAGCCAGUUAUUUCUGUCAUCACAAUCGUCCUCAAUCACCAUUGUGCCGCCGAGCAACGCACGUGACUCCAAGUUAUUUCAGCAGAACUGACUGUUUUUUUUUGCAACAGGUCUACAGUAGUCAACCAUCCAUUAAAAUACAAACAGAGAUGGGCUGGAUGGGCAUUUUGAAAUGUACUAAUGGAUACAUGUUGCUCACAUUUAUUUAUUGGGAGGUCAAUGCCCCUUUGAAGCCCAGGUGUAUUUGUUGUAAGGAUAUAUUCAGACUAUGGCUGCUUGGUCCAAAGCUCUCCAGUAUAACUAUAGCAGAAGGUUUCUGGAGCAGCGGAUCAGGGUCAGAGGUAAAAGCCCACUGUUUUAUGUUAUUUUUUUCUUUUCAUUUGAAUUCUUUUACCUCACUUGAUGCCACGUCAACGCCACUCGGCUAUAGAGAGCAUGCUCAGAGCGAGACGACAUGUUCACCAGGAUAGGGUUCACAGGCACGACGGUUCUGCGCGUCGUGCUGACUUGGUUGAAUCCACUGGUUCAGAUACCUUACUAACACUACACAAUAUGACACACUGCUAAAUCUCACGCACAGGUUUUCUCGCAGUGCUGUUGAACAAAAGUUACAUAACAAAUGUAACGUACCUGUAAUGAGAAGUAAUCUCAUACAGAACAUGGUCCGAAUAAAAGGACCUGGUCUAGCCAGAAAUGAAGCCCAAUAGAUGUAACAACAUCAGAGGCCCUCAUAUCCUAUUGAGCACUCAUUAGAUUCUUGGUUAUGUGGCAAGGGGAUCAUUAGCAGGUGAUAUAUUUAGUUUUUACAAUGAUGUUUUUUAGAAUGUCAUGAUGCAGAUGGAUUUCUGUGCAUAUGUCUGCCUGAAUGCAUCACUUUCUAAUGAGCUACACGUCUAACUUCCCCUAAAUAAAGAAUGUUUUGAAAAAAAAAAAAA